AUAAUAUUAGGACCGUCGGUCUACUGAGCAAUAUCACGCUCUCGAUAGAAGAUCUUUCCUUUGUUGC
rnacentral:pre_miRNA from 1 species